UCGUCAAACCGCGAGGGGGAGCCAAUCCCAGAAAACCGAUUGUAGUCCGGAUCGCACUCUGCAACUCGAGUGCGUGAAGCUGGAAUCGCUAGUAAUCGCGGAUCAGCAUUCCGCGGUGAAUACGUUCCCAGGUCUUGUACACACCGCCCGUCACACCAUGGGAGUGGGUUUUACCAGAAGUGGCUAGUCUAACCGCAAGGAGGACGGUCACCACGGUAGGAAAUCAUGACUGGGGUGAAGUCGUAACAAGGUAACCGUA
rnacentral:rRNA from 1 species